UUUAAAUUCUGAGUGAGUUGGUGCAGUGAGCAUCUAGCUAGAUUGCUGUUAACAGAACUAGAGUUAACUAGUGCUGCGUCCGUGUAAAACAAACAUGCAAGCAGUUUUUGUAAGGUAAUAUGUGGUUAUAUUAUGUAGUAAGUAUAAGCAUUUUAAAAUUCUAAACUUGUUCUUUGCCUUUUAGGUUGCUGGUCCAAGAAUGAUCUGGAACUAACAUCUACGGUCCUAUGAGGUGACAACUGCAAACACAAGCCUGUCGAUCCACCUGCAGUCUGGUCUGAAUGAUACAGUCCCUCUUCCAGCAUACAAGAUAGGCGGCUCGCUGCUGCUAACCCUCAAACGGUUCAUUCAAGUGAGACAGAACUAAGUAGCACAAUGGCAGCUGCAUCCCCUGAACCAAUGAUUCUACGUGUUGUUGAGCCAGACCAGGCUAGAAAAUUAAAACUCAACUCACGACCAGCCUCUGUUGAUGCACUGAUCAAUAUUCUAAAAGAACAGCUGGACAUUGACCUUGACUUUGAUUUACUUUAUGAAGAU